rnacentral:rRNA from 1 species
UACGGAACCUGCAGAGAUGUGGGUGUGCCCGAAAGGGAACCUGGACACAGGUGCUGCAUGGCUGUCGCCAGCUCGUGUCGUGAGAUGUUGGGUUAAGUCCCGCAACGAGCGCAACCCUUGCCGUUAAUUGCCAUCAUUUAGUUGGGCACUUUAACGAGACCGCCGGUGACAAACCGGAGGAAGGUGGGGAUGACGUCAAGUCCUCAUGGCCCUUAUGGGUAGGGCUUCACACGUAAUACAAUGGUCGGUACAGAGGGCUGCCAACCCGCAAGGGGGAGCUAAUCCCAGAAAGCCGAUCGUAGUCCGGAUUGUAGUCUGCAACUCGACUGCAUGAAGCCGGAAUCGCUAGUAAUCGCGGAUCAGCAUGUCGCGGUGAAUACGUUCCCGGGUCUUGUACACACCGCCCGUCACACCAUGGGAGUGGGUUCCACCAGAAGUAGUUAGCCUAACCGCAAGGGGGGCGAUUACCACGGUGAGAUUCAUGACUGGGGUGAAGUCGUCGUAACAAGGUAACCGUA